UCCGGAACUUGUCGUUCACUGGUGAAAGGAAUAAAACAAGAGUUUAGCAACUUCACAUGUCAACAAACAAUGAUGUCAGUGGUAAUGUAAGGCCAGUGGUAAUGUAAGGCCAGUGGUAAUGUAAGGCCAGUGGUAAUGUAAGGCCAGUGGUAAGGUAAGGCCAGUGGUAAGGUAAGGCCAGUGGUAAUGUAAGGCCAGUGGUAAUGUAAGGCCAGUGGUAAUGUAAGGCCAGUGGUAAUGUAAGGCCAGUGGUAAGGUAAGGCCAGUGGUAAGGUAAGGCCAGUGGUAAGGUAAGGCCAGUGGUAAGGUAAGGCCAGUGGUAAGGUAAGGCCAGUGGUAAGGUAAGGCCAGUGGUAAGGUAAGGCCAGUGGUAAGGUAAGGCCAGUGGUAAUGUAAGGCCAGUGGUAAGGUAAGGCCAGUGGUAAGGUAAGGCCAGUGGUAAGGUAAGGCCAGUGGUAAGGUAAGGCCAGUGGUAAGGUAAGGCCAGUGGUAAGGUAAGGCCAGUGGUAAGGUAAGGCCAGUGGUAAGGUAAGGCCAGUGGUAAGGUAAGGCCAGUGGUAAGGUAAGGCCAGUGAAGUCUUGUAUGUAAAUGAGGGUUGGUUUGCAUAGCCAUAGCC